UGAGUUUGAUUCCCGGUACCAGAAAACAAACAAACAAACAAAAAGAACAAAUAACAUUAAAAAAAAAAAUUGCAUCAAAGUAGCUCACGAUCUACAUCACCUUAUCCAGGCUGGUGGCACACACCUGUCAUCCCAGCUACUCAGGAGGCUGAGGCAGGAGGACUGAGCGUUCGAGGUCAGCCUUCGUAUCACAGACAGCUCCCAUCUCAGCUCAGCAGCAUCGAGGGCAUCCCACGGCUGUGCACCACCCCCACUGCCCACCUCCAGACCUCUGUCAUCACGCUGAGCCUGUCCCCAAGCAACACUGACUCCCGUCCCCUCCCCAGCCCAGCCCGGGGCCACCAUCUGCCUCCUGUCUCUCUGGAUCUGACGAUGCUAGGCCUCCUGGGAGUGGGACCCUGCUGUGCCUGUCCUUCUGCAUCUGGCUUGGCUCCUGAGCAGUGUCCUCAGUGUCUAUCAACCCUGUAGCGGUGUCAGGAUUUCCUUCCUUUUCAUGGCUGCAUAAUAUUCCGUAUGCUGAUGGAUCAUGCUGUGUUGAUCUAUUCACUGGCCAACAGAAACUCGAUUGGUUUCUACCUGUUGGGUAGAGGGACUGAAAAUGAGAAGAGGAUGAAUUUUCCCUUCGGUGGAAUUCAGUGUCCUCUCUGGGCCAACAGAUGGCAUCUUGUGAUCUUCCCACCAUCCCAAGCAUCCCAUGCAGAUGUGCUGUCCAGAGCAGACCCAGCCCAAAGGACAGCCAGGGAGACUCAUGCACAGGAUUAAGCCUCACGAGUCCAUGAGAAGCUGGUGUGGACCCCACAGGCCUGGGACAAGGACCACCAUCUCCGUGACUGUCCCUCAGUGGUUGGUGCUGGAAGCUUUACCUGCAGGAGACCCAGAAAAGCCACUUCCCACCCCUGGGCCCAUGUGCAGCAGGCUGGGUAGUAGGUCUGGAAUCUUUGCCCAUUAAUCGGGCUGUAAACAAGCCCAGAAGGAAAUGUA